CCGCCGUCUUCUGCGGGGAGCGCGGCCGGCCCCGCUCCGGAAAUGCCAUUCUCCUGAGUGUGCAAGGAACCUACAGAACUAAUGUCUAACCCUACAUGGAAUAACAACUCUUGGAAGCAGGUCUGUGGUUUGCAAACUGCGAGGCCGUUUAAGUGGUGAGAAACAUCAUCUGCAUCCAGAGCUGUUUCCUGGAUGGUUCACCUGCAUUUGUCUGGCCCUGGCUCUGCUCACCCAUGCACUGUUUCCUCCUUGUGCCUGCGUCUGCUGAACUGUAUGUGCUUGGGCAAGCCUGACGUGUGACGGCUGCAAGUGCCUAGUUUUGUAUGAUGGAUAUCUUGGGGGUCUGCUUUGAUUGUGGUGUUGUGCCAAGUGCUGUUUUGAGUCUCAUCUGAGUUGCUGUGUUAUUCUGUCUGUCACUGGUUUGGAUUAUGUCUCUAUGUUGCUGGCUUUGACAGCCUGCUGUACCAUUUCCAUGCCAUGCAUGUGUAUGACUUCAUGCUGCAGGCCUUGGAGCUGUUGGAGACAGUGCAAUGCAUGUCAGUAAGCAAAAAAUAUGCUGUUGGAUUCAAAUGAUGGGGACUCAUUCUGCCUAUUGCGAGCAAAUGUCUCCAGCACUGUGACAGAUUAAUCUUCCAAUGAAGAGUGAAGAUUGGCAACUUUUAUUGUGCAGUCAAAUUGAAAAUGUAUGAUUCUUGUGUGUAGUGUCAAUUAACAGCAAAGUCAGAAUAACUUAAUUUCCUUAGAUUUGUGAAAAGGUGAGGUAGCCUUGGCCAACAGCCAAACACCCAUCUAGUUGUUGGGUAGCUCACUACACCUCCUUCCAGAAGGGAAUAGGCUUAGGGAGUUUAAGAGUCAAGGUAAAGACAGGGAGAUUACUGGUUACUGUUGUGGAUGAAACAAAGUCAUUUAUCACCAGUUAAAAUGGAUUUGGGUAGUGAGAUAAAUGUUAAACCAACACCCUUCCUCUCCCGUUUCAGUGCAAGUCAUUACCUGCCCUGCCAGGGAGCACCUUCUCCCUACCCUUCUUUGACCUUGGUGGGUUUUUUCUUUUUUCCUCUUUGUUGGUUGUCGUUUUUGCCCUUUCUUAAAUAGGUUUCCCCAGUGGUGCCAGUCACUUGGCUGUGUCCAGUGGUGGCUUAUGGUGGAGCUGUCUGGGCAGAGCCUGGGGCAGUCAAGACGACCACCUGCAGGGGCCAUGUUAAAAACUGACUCUAAUGAGUGGUCUUUAAUUUUUCUUUUAGUCUUAGACUGUAGCCUGUUCUUCGGGAGUGUUUUGUUUUGUAAGAUACCACUCAAAAGCCCAGUGAAUCCAAAGCUUGUUGAGUGGGUGUAGGUGGAGGUGUGUCCUGUUUGUUUGUGGGUGUGUUGUUUUUAGAUGCUUUUAAUGAAUCUGUUUUAAGUUUCUGUCCUCAGCAGAUGCAAUGAUGCACUUGGUUAUAAAAUGUUCUGUGAAAAAUAGUUUGAGCUUCCUUUUGCAUGAAAUCUCACCUGAAGGUCUAUAUACUCAGUAUAAGUGUAUUCAGAGCAGAGGGUUGUUCUGUAAAUGGCUUACUUAUAAAUUUGAAAUUAGAGUUUGGAGUUUUUACAUUAUCCUUGCAAGCUGAAAGAUAGUUUUGUGUAGAAACAUGAUGCUGGGGCACCAGCAGUGUCCUAGUUUAAACAAGAAUUUGGAAAGGAUUUAAGACUUUGUGACAAUUCAUAAGGCAUUGGUGGAAAAAAAACUGUAGAAGAUGCAAGUAACUGAAAACAGGGUAGACUCAGGAGUGUGACAGAAAAAAACAGGAAUUUUGAAUUACAGAAAUACUUGUAACUAAUGGCACAAUUGCCUCAAACUUUUUUUAGUACCAUUAUAUUUAAUCUAGUGUUUGUGCUGCUGUAAGGUUUCUGUUUGGGUUUGGUUUUGGUGACUCUGAGGGAAGAUUUGGAUGCUUUAGAGAUGCUUAGUGACUGCUGUAACCUCUCAACU